rnacentral:rRNA from 1 species
GUAGAUGGCUAUACCGCCCCAAAUGCAUCUGAUCUCAUCGGUCUCAGAAGCUCAGCAGGGUCAGGCCUGCUUGGCACUUGGAUGGGAGAAAUGGACAGGAUGAUACUGUAAAGA